rnacentral:rRNA from 1 species
UUAGUACGGCGAGUGAAGCGGUAAAAGCUCAAAUUUGAAAUCUGGUACUUUCAGUGCCCGAGUUGUAAUUUGUAGAAUUUGUCUUUGAUUAGGUCCUUGUCUAUGUUCCUUGGAACAGGACGUCAUAGAGGGUGAGAAUCCCGUUUGGCGAGGAUACCUUUUCUCUGUAAGACUUUUUCGAAGAGUCGAGUUGUUUGGGAAUGCAGCUCAAAGUGGGUGGUAAAUUCCAUCUAAAGCUAAAUAUUGGCGAGAGACCGAUAGCGAACAAGUACAGUGAUGGAAAGAUGAAAAGAACUUUGAAAAGAGAGUGAAAAAGUACGUGAAAUUGUUGAAAGGGAAGGGCAUUUGAUCAGACAUGGUGUUUUUUGCAUGCACUCGCCUCUCGUGGGCUUGGGCCUCUCAAAAAUUUCACUGGGCCAACAUCAAUUCUGGCAGCAGGAUAAAUCAUUAAGAAUGUAGCUACUUCGGUAGUGUUAUAGCUUUUUGGAAUACUGUUAGCCGGGAUUGAGGACUGCGCUUCGGCAAGGAUGUUGGCAUAAUGGUUAAAUGCCGCCCGUCUUGAAACC